ensembl:lncRNA
GUCGAGGGGGACAGAAGAAAGGAGGGAGGGAGAGGAACAGGUUGAGGGGGACAGAAGAAAGGAGGGAGGGAACAGGUCGAGGGGGACAGAAGAAAGGGAAGAAGAACAGGUCGAGGGGGACAGAAGAAAGGGAGGAGAAGAACAGGUCGAGGGGGACAGAAGAAAGGAGGGAGAGGAGAGGAACAGGUCGAGGGGGACAGAAGAAAGGGGGAGGGAGAGGAACAGGUCGAGAGGGACAGAAGAAAGGGAGGGAGAGGAACAGGUCGAGGGGGACAGAAGAAAGGGAGGGAGAGGAGAGGAUCAGGUCGAGGGGGACAGAAGAAAGGGAGGGAGAGGAGAGGAACAGGUCCAGGGGGACAGAAGGAAGGAAGGAAGGGAGAGGAGAGGAACAGGUCGAGGGUGACAGAAGAAAGGGAGAGAGAGGAGAGGAUCAGGUCGAGGGGGACAGAAGAAAGGGAGAGAGAGGAGAGGAUCAGGUCGAGGGGGACAGAAGAAAGGGAGGAAGAGGAACAGGUCGAGGGGAACAGAAGAAAGGGAGGGAGAGGAGAGGAACAGGUCGAGAGGGACAGAAGAAAGGGAAGGAGAGGAGAGGAACAGGUCGAGGGGGACAGAAGAAAGGGAGGGAGAGGAGAGGAACAGGUCGAGAGGGACAGAAGAAAGG